AUUCAGCUGAAGAGUCCCAAAUGAGGCGAAACGCGCGUCAAACUGGAU
rfam:Schistosoma mansoni, Puerto Rico, WGS project CABG01000000 data, contig: 0231